ACGGAAGGCAGCAGUGGGGAAUAUUGCACAAUGGGCGAAAGCCUGAUGCAGCGACGCCGCGUGAGUGAAGAAGUAUCUCGGUAUGUAAAGCUCUAUCAGCAGGGAAGAAAAUGACGGUACCUGACUAAGAAGCCCCGGCUAACUACGUGCCAGCAGCCGCGGUAAUACGUAGGGGGCAGGCGUUAUCCGGAUUUACUGGGUGUAAAGGGAGCGUAGACGGUUUGGCAAGUCUGAAGUGAAAUGCGGGGGCUCAACUCCUGAACUGCUUUGGAAACUGUCGAACUAGAGUGCAGGAGAGGUAAGUGGAAUUCCUAGUGUAGCGGUGAAAUGCGUAGAUAUUAGGAGGAACACCAGUGGCGAAGGCGGCUUACUGGACUGUAACUGACGUUGAGGCUCGAAAGCGUGGGGAGCAAACAGGAUUAGAUACCCUGGUA
rnacentral:rRNA from 1 species